rnacentral:rRNA from 1 species
UACGGAGGGUGCAAGCGUUAUCCGGAUUCACUGGGUUUAAAGGGUGCGUAGGUGGGCAGGUAAGUCAGUGGUGAAAUCUCCGGGCUUAACCCGGAACUGCCGUUGAUACUACUUGUCUUGAAUAUUGUGGAGGUAAGCGGAAUAUGUCAUGUAGCGGUGAAAUGCUUAGAUAUGACAUAGAACACCAAUUGCGAAGGCAGCUUACUACACAACGAUUGACGCUGAGGCACGAAAGCGUGGGGAUCAAACAGG